CACCCACGCCCACGGCUGCGGUCAACAGAACACGAGGUGGGGUUGGAAAGCCCCGGGUUUCACCGGGCCUAACCGCCCACUUCUUUGCAAACGCGGCACGGUAAGAGCCGCUCUGCCUCGAGGUUCCCCGAUAUGGCCCUUCGUUUGGAUACUGGAACUCCCUUUCCAGCCAGAGCCCCGAGGCCGAGAAUCAGCCGCAGGAGGUGCGCUCCCUCAUCCCCACUACACACGCUGCAGCCACAGACCGCAGAAAUCCAGGUGGAGACAGGUCGAGAAAAACAGGGGACUGUUCAGCUGCACCUUCAUCUUAAGCAACAUAUGUGCAUUGAUGGAGCUUACCUGGUGCCAAGAAAGUGGUGAAAGGCAUGGAAAUAAGUCUCUGCACCUCAUCUACAUACCCGCACUCAGGAGAUGGAAGCAGAUGAGCAGCACUGGACUGACCUGCCCGAAGAAAUGUUCGACUGCACAAGCAUAGCCUUGGGGUGAGUCUCUGCCUCAAGAACAGGCUGAUAAACUCACUCUCAGUCACACAGGCUUUGGGCCUUCUAACUCCAGCCUCCUAGACUCAAAACCCCAGGUCAGCCCUGGAGACAGUCACAGCAUACUGCUGAUUCUCCCUUAUGCUUGCCAUUACUUCAUGCAAGAGUGCCCAGUGUGAAUGGAUGCCCUCCUCAGGCCCAGUCCACCACGGCUGGAGAUUGGGAUGUGUUACACAAAGGAGCUG
rnacentral:lncRNA from 1 species